CUUGUACUCCCUCCGUUCGGAAUUACUUGUCUCAGAAAUGGAUGUAUCUAGAACUAAAAUACAUCUAGAUACAUUCAUCUCUGCGACAAGUAAUUCCGAACGGAGGGAGUAUAUU
rnacentral:pre_miRNA from 1 species